AUUGAACGCUGGCGGCAGGCCUAACACAUGCAAGUCGAACGAGUGGCGGACGGGUGAGUAAUGUCUGGGAAACUGCCUGAUGGAGGGGGAUAACUACUGGAAACGGUGGCUAAUACCGCAUGCUAUCGGAUGAACCCAUAUGGGAAUAGCUAGUAGGGGAGGUAAUAGCUCACCUGGGCCACGAUCUCUAGCUGGUCUGAGAGGAUGAUCGGCCAAACUGGAACUGUGACACGGCCCAGACUCCUACGGGAGGCAGCAGUGGGGAAUAUUGCACAAUGGGCGCAAGCCUGAUGCAGCCAUGCCGCGUGGAUGAAGAAGGCCUUAGGGUUGUAAAGUACUUUCAGCGGGGAGGCGUUACCCGCAGAAGAAGCACCGGCUAACUCCGUGCCAGCCGCCGCGGUAAUAC
rnacentral:rRNA from 1 species